GUGGGGAAUAUUGGGCAAUGGGCGCAAGCCUGACCCAGCAACGCCGCGUGAAGGAAGAAGGCUUUCGGGUUGUAAACUUCUUUUACCAGGGACGAAACAAAUGACGGUACCUGGUGAAUAAGCCACGGCUAACUACGUGCCAGCAGCCGCGGUAAUACGUAGGUGGCAAGCGUUGUCCGGAUUUACUGGGUGUAAAGGGCGCGUAGGCGGGAUAGCAAGUCAGGUGUGAAAUCCGGGGGCUUAACCCUCGAACUGCACUUGAAACUGUUAUUCUUGAGUGAUGGAGAGGCAAGCGGAAUUCCUAGUGUAGCGGUGAAAUGCGUAGAUAUUAGGAGGAACACCAGUGGCGAAGGCGGCUUGCUGGACAUUAACUGACGCUGAGGCGCGAAAGCGUGGGGAGCAAACAGGAUUAGAAACCCCAGUAGUCC
rnacentral:rRNA from 1 species